CUAGUUGGUGAGGUAAGAGCCCACCAAGGCGACGAUCGGUAGCUGGUCUGAGAGGACGAUCAGCCACACUGGGAUUGAGAACGGCCCAGACUCCUACGGGGGGCAGCAGUGAGGAAUUUUCCGCAAUGGUCGCAAGACUGACGGAGCAACGCCGCGUGCAGGAGGACGCUUUUCGGAGUGUAAACUGCUUUUCUGUGGGAAGAGCAAGGACGGUACCACAGGAAGAAGCCCCGGCUAACUACGUGCCAGCAGCCGCGGUAAUACGUAGGGGGCGAGCGUUGUCCGGAGUUACUGGGCGUAAAGGGCACGCAGGCGGUGCGGCGCGUUUCGCGUGACAGCGGAGGGCUUACCUCUCUGAGGAUGCGAAAGACGGCAGCACUUGAGGGCCAGAGAGGGACACGGAAUUCCGGGUGGAGUGGUGAAAUGCGUAGAGAUCCGGAGGAACACCGAAGGCGAAGGCAGUGUCCUGGCUGGUGACUGACGCUGAGGUGCGAAAGCUAGGGGAGCGAACGGGAUUAGAUACCCCGGUAGUCCUAGCCGUAAACGAUGACCACCAGGUGUGGGAGGUAUCGACCCCUUCCGUGCCGGAGUUAACACACUAAGUGGUCCGCCUGGGGAGUACGGUCGCAAGAUUAAAACUCAAAGGAAUUGACG
rnacentral:rRNA from 1 species